CCACUGCCUAGUCGUCACGCUCAUGUCCCAGAGCGUCUAUGAGACCACACCCUCCACGUGAUCGUUGUUCGCCAUCUCGCCGAUCCAACCCUCCAGGAUUCCAGACACGCAUGGUCGAGCAAUCAGAAUUUAAGUUAUUCGGCGAUCGUCGUUCUUAUUUUUCAACAUACGAAGUGCUAAUUUGUACCGAUGUAUAUUAGCUAGCUUCUUAGAUUUAAAAAACUAAUGUCAAUACACAUCACCAUUUAUUUACGAAGUAUUAAUAUGCUCCACUGUAUAAUAUAGAAUAUUUUUAAAGUCUACAGGGCCCACCACGAUCAGUUCGCACGGGGGCCCUCAAAAUCAUAGGACCGGGGCUGGCCAUAGGCAACCUAGAUCCAGAGUUCCAGACGAACGAAGAGGAGAGAGACGAUCCAAAGUGCAUGAAAAUGAAAGCCCGUCAUUGGUUUCGCAGCCCUCUUGAUGGACAGAUGGAUGGAUCACGUUCGUGUUCUCUCUCGUAUUUUCACGCCGGCCGUCGUCGUUGCCUUUUCCUUGUCUCAUGCAUGGGCCACCUGCAGGUGGUCUAGUCCAUCUGCCACUGACACUGAGGACUGUGGGAGGUGACGCGCGCGUGGACAUGAACGGGGCCGGCCGGCCGGCCGUGAUGCUGCGCAGGCCCGUCACUACCCCGUGCAUGCAUGCAUGCAUCGCAUGGUUCCGAUGGGAUUGGGAGGCAGCAGGGGCCAUCCGGCCUCCGGCCAUGCAUCAUGCAGGCAUGAUGGCGGAUGGCCUGGGCGGGCGCGCGCGCGAAGACUCGGUUAGUUCUGAUUUGAAGACGAUGGGGAAAAAAUAUCAAAUUAAAGCCCGCAAUGCAAGGAUGUGUGCAUGCUUUGCAAAUGAUGGAUUGAUAUGGCAUUAAGGCUGCAUAGGGCAUGU
rnacentral:misc_RNA from 1 species